GGAGCUAUGGUGUGUGGAAAUUCCAAACUGUAGCUUAGUUGCCUUGCCCUGAAACUUGUCUCCUCUGGAGAUACAGGGCUGGGGGCAAGGCUGAGCGAGAAGAAUCUGUCUUGGUCAAUCCUGGUGCUCUGGAAGAAAACCUUGUGUGAUGGUCAUCUCUAGUUGGUAAUCUGAUAUAAGUUGAGUUGCCGACAGAACCCAGCUGAGGAGAAUGACUGGUCUAAUCCCAGCAUGGCUUUCCUGCUCCCUUUGCUAGGUGUGUGAUUUCCCAGCUUCCCUUGGAGAAAUGUCACUGCCAUGAUUGUGUUACAGAGGACCUCCAUCUAGCCAGCACGCUCACACUCCUUCCCUGGAUCGGUUUGAUGAAGCAGGCCUCCAUGUUGUAAACUGUCUCAUGGAGAGGCCCAACUGGCAAGGAACUGAGGAAAGCCUCUGGCCAACAGCCAGUGAGGAGCUGAAUCCUGCCAACAACACUGAGAAAGUUUGGAAGUGGAUCCUGCCCCAGUUGAACCUUCAGAUGGCUGUGGUCUCAGCUGACAUCUUGAUUGUAGCUUUGUAAGAGACUUUGACCCAGAGGACUCAGAUGAUGAAACAGGACACAGAGAGGUUAUUUUUCCCAAAUCCAGUAAAGACGCAGAGCUGGAGGUUGAACCAGGGCUUCCGAUGCCAAUUCUGGAUUGCUCCUGGCUGUGCCAUGUUGGUUCUGUAUGCCAAAAUUCUUGGACUUUCUUGCUAUUGUUGACCCCCAGUGUCUUGCUAGAUGCUGCCUGGGACCGACACUGAGCAGAAUCAUGACAGGAGUGUCCGUGUCCCUAGGCUUCCCUUUUUGCCCAAUUGCCCUAUAUUGGUGGAGGCUCCAACCUGCCCUGCAAGAUGCUGGGUGCUCUUCUGCAUCUGACUUAUUCUUCCGCUCUGAUUUAUGUGAACUUAUUUCCAAGACGUGGUAAUUAAUCACCGCCUCAGCAAGGGGGAUCUGGGGGGGCUGACAAAGCACUGGAGCCCCUAUAGGAUUCCACAAACAUUGGGAUAAUCAAUAUUCCUAUUGAUAUAUUUAUUCUGGAUUCCCUGUGUACUUACUGGGUACUUGUUCUGAGUGCUCCUCCUGUGCCAGCUGCUGGGGAUGCAAUGAUGAAUGAAGAAGUGAAUCCAAACCUGGAAGUGGAUAUUUUUAAAAAAGUCCCAUCAUCAUUUUGGGAGCUGAGAUGUCCCAGUGUCACAAAAGAGAAUUUCUCAAUGAGGAACUGACCAGCGAGGGAGAAAAAUACCCUUUAAAAACACUUCCUGCUAGAAGUCAAAUGGUGGGCAAGCAAGAGUUGCACCAUCAAUGCAGCAUUCUUCUGGGUUCAUUUUCUGACUUUGGAAGAGAUAAGAAAAUCGAGGCAUGGAAACAAUGCUGUCCACAGCCACACCGAGGGGGCAAAGUAGAGCUGGAAUUCCAACACUGGUCUGUCCAGCUUCAAGACCCAACCUCUCUAUGAGGAUGAAAACCUAAUGAAACAAAUCAAAACAGAUGAAACAACCUCAGCCUACAGGCUAAAGAAUGCGCUCACUCACUCAAGUCAUAGUGAAGAUGUGGAACACAUCAUUUUGCUGGUACAGAGGCAGAUUCACAGAUGAGAAUGUCAGGGAUUCUGUCUCAGAGGCGCUCGUGUCCUUACAAGGGAGGUGUAAGGACUACCUUGUUUUUCAUCUGCCCAUCUUCUUCAUUUCAUAUUGGGAUUUCCCCUUCCCAGUUCACAUGCCAACUGGAAGGUUUGCGAGUCCAAAUCCCAGCACUCAUCUGGCAAAGGGGUGAAUGUUUGACUCAUAUUGGAAAAUUAGACUAUAGGAAAGUAAAUGAUGACCCCCUAAUCUGAAAAUGGCUAGAGCGGAUUAAUCCAGCUAGCAGCACUCUGAAGAUAGCUGCCCAUUUGUUCCUGCCAUCUGGCUGUUCAGCUUUCCUUCUUUCUGAGAGCUUCCUUGUGGCAGCUACUGUAGGUUGGUUCACUCAGCGCCCAUUCCAUUUCCCGUCAAGCCGUGCUUUCUCUGCUCUAGAACGUGGAAGACUCAAAGCUCGCUUUCCCAGACUUCCUUGCAGCUAGGAGUGGCCAUGAUACUUGACCAGCGAGAUGCAAGUCAUUCACCCUCACAGGUUCUGGAACAAGCUCCAAGGCAGAGGGAUGAUGGCCUGGCUGAGCCGCACCGCGCAGGCGCUCUUCCCCAGCGCAGACGCCCUGCUCUGUCCUGACAGUCCCGCGUUGCCCUCAAUCUGAAGGUAUGGAUAAUUAAGGUAAUGAACACUUUUCCACUAGCUGCUGAAAGCCUCAUUAAUCUACACACAUGUUGCCACAGGCAAAUUAUGGCGUCAAGGGUGGGAGGA
rnacentral:lncRNA from 1 species